rnacentral:rRNA from 1 species
AUUGAACGCUGGCGGCAUGCCUUACACAUGCAAGUCGAACGGCAGCGGGGGAGAAGCUUGCUUUUCCUGCCGGCGAGUGGCGAACGGGUGAGUAAUACAUCGGAACGUGCCCUGUAGUGGGGGAUAACUAGUCGAAAGAUUAGCUAAUACCGCAUACGACCUGAGGGUGAAAGUGGGGGACCGCAAGGCCUCAUGCUAUAGGAGCGGCCGAUGUCUGAUUAGCUAGUUGGUGGGGUAAAGGCCUACCAAGGCGACGAUCAGUAGCUGGUCUGAGAGGACGAUCAGCCACACUGGGACUGAGACACGGCCCAGACUCCUACGGGUGGCAGCAGUGGGGAAUUUUGGACAAUGGGCGAAAGCCUGAUCCAGCAAUGCCGCGUGUGUGAAGAAGGCCUUCGGGUUGUAAAGCACUUUUGUCCGGAAAGAAAUGGCUCUGGUUAAUACCUGGGGUCGAUGACGGUACCGGAAGAAUAAGGACCGGCUAACUACGUGCCAGCAGCCGCCGUAACAC